rnacentral:rRNA from 1 species
GAUGAACGCUGGCGGCGUGCCUAAUACAUGCAAGUCGAGCGAAUGGAUUAAGAGCUUGCUCUUAUGAAGUUAGCGGCGGACGGGUGAGUAACACGUGAGUAACCUGCCCAUAAGACUGGGAUAACUCCGGGAAACCGGGGCUAAUACCGGAUAACAUUUUGAACCGCAUGGUUCGAAAUUGAAAGGCGGCUUCGGCUGUCACUUAUGGAUGGACCCUCGGCGCAUUAGCUAGUUGGUGAGGUAACGGCUCACCAAGGCAACGAUGCGUAGCCGACCUGAGAGGGUGAUCGGCCACACUGGGACUGAGACACGGCCCAGACUCCUACGGGAGGCAGCAGUAGGGAAUCUUCCGCAAUGGACGAAAGUCUGACGGAGCAACGCCGCGUGAGUGAUGAAGGCUUUCGGGUCGUAAAACUCUGUUGUUAGGGAAGAACAAGUGCUAGUUGAAUAAGCUGGCACCUUGACGGUACCUAACCAGAAAGCCACGGCUAACUACGUGCCAGCAGCCGCAGUAA